GCUGGGCGGGCUGAUGUGCAUCUAAAAAUAAACAUGGUCUGCAUGGGUUCCUACGAUCUCUGUCCUGCAUAGUGGAUUAUAUUUCAAAGGGAUUUUUUUAAAUCGUUUUCAAGAAAGUGAGCCUAGGUAAACCUGGCGACUAACUAUACUGUAGCAGUUGCUGAUAUUCAUUCCUAUGGAAAAAGGACAGCUUCUUUGGCCCGAAAUUUCAAAACAAGGUUAAAGCCAUCAGAAGCAGGUUGAGGGAGUUCCCGUCGUGGUGCAGCAGAAAUGACUCCAACUAGGAACCAUGAGGUUGCAGAUUCAGUUAAGUCUGAGAAGAUCUGAGAAGGUGAUAGCGAACCUGCAUCUCUAACAAGCUGCCCAAUGAUGCCUGAUGCACCUGGACCCCUCGUACCUUUUAGGCUGUAAGCCAUGGGGUGCAAUGGAGAUAUUUCAGGAUCAGACAUGAUUAGAAUUGCAUUUUCCAAAGAACCAUGUAGCAGGGUGUGGAGGGCGGGAUGGAAGGAGACAGGGCUGGGGUAUGAUACAGAAAUGGCAAGAAAUUUUGAGCAUCUGAACUAAAUAAGUUAGGAAAGAACAGUCAACACGCCAAGAAACAGGUGCAAAUUGACUGGUAUGGAGUUGCUCUAAAACAUUUCUCCCAGAGGAAAGGUCGCUUGUGAGGUCAAAAGUGAAACAAUAAAUCCUAAGAGGCUUUUUAAAAUCAGAGAAACAUGUAGCAUUAUUUGAAUCAGCCUAGACACCCCCCACAGCUCUGCAUCUCCUCGAACACUUCAUCUCAAGCCCCAAUAAUAACUGGAAAAAAGCAAAAUCCCUGUAGAUAAUGACCACAAGAGAAUAAAGACAAUCAGCCAUCUCCAUCCUCACUUGAAAGACCUUGUCACUACUUGCGUCUCGUUUCAGGACACUUCAGAGAGAAUGAUUAUUUCAUAACAAAUUCUGGAAAAUCACAAGGCAGUCCACCUGAACACAGGGAGCCUUCAAUGUUUUUGACUGACAGGAGCCGAAAUUAGAAACAACGAUUUAUAUUCCCUGUUAGAAAAUCCUUUAACUGAAAGACUCAGAAAAAUUAAAAAAAAAAAAAAAUCAAGACCCGUAGCUACAUCUACCUUGUUGAAAAAGAAAAGAAGACGGUCCCCUUUUUUCUCUUAGAAGCCCCCGAAUGCAGCUUCUGAUGGGAUCUGUCUUCCCAAGCAAAAAACAAUCAGCCUCAGGUUCCCUGUCCUAGGCUGCUUGGCAUUCUUUCUCCAAAGAGGUACAAAUCUUUCUCCAAAGGUGACCCAAAGUCCACCUCCCCUCUCACUGUGUUUCUUCACGGUCCUGUAAACGAGUGCAUGUCCACCAGACACGCAGGUGAAAAGCAUGCAGCCAACUAGAAAAAACCAUAUGGACACACGCGUCUGCUUCAACAAAUGAACCAAAGAGAAAAGGGCAGCAGACCUACCUUUCUCUUCGGUGCUGUGCAGGCUCCUGAAAUUUAACCCUGGACCGAAAAGCUUCCCAGCAGGCAGU
rnacentral:lncRNA from 1 species